GGCUCGUUUGUCUAGGUGUAUGAUUCUCGCUUAGAGUGCGAGAGGUCCCGGGUUCAAAUCCCGGACGAGCCU
rnacentral:tRNA from 1 species